rnacentral:lncRNA from 1 species
ACGGCGGAGGCGGCUGGGUGCUUCCCCCCCCCCCCACCGGCCAGAGGAAGAUGGAGCUCGGGUAGCGAGGGCGCGCGGGCGGAGCGGCGGCAGCAGGCUCUCGGCCCGGCUUCGCUCCCGCGUUCGCGGCUCUGCCGAAACGAGCCCGCAUCUCGGCCGGCUGCUCGGGUCCUGCUGGGACGAGAGGCCGCUGUGGGCAGGCGGUGCCUCUUCUCUCCCGUGCUUCUUGAACCCUGGCAGGACGUCUGGGAACCGACCUUAGUCAGGCACAUAAUACUCCAGAGCUUCAAAAUCAGAAGUAAAAUCAUCUGGACAGUUGCCACCUGCCUUCCUAAAUAGGAGGAAAGUGGGAUUAUUGGUGCCUGCCUCAUUUGCUUCACCAAAAUGAGAUAGGGCAUGCAGGAGAGAAGGGAUAUUAUUGCAAGUGGAAGCUACAAUG